rnacentral:rRNA from 1 species
UACGAAGGGGGCUAGCGUUGCUCGGAAUUACUGGGCGUAAAGGGCGCGUAGGCGGGUCGUUAAGUUAGAGGUGAAAGCCCAGGGCUCAACCCUGGAAUUGCCUUUGAUACUGGCGGCCUUGAGUAUGGCAGAGGUGUGUGGAACUCCGAGUGUAGAGGUGAAAUUCGUAGAUAUUCGCAAGAACACCAGUGGCGAAGGCGGCUCACUGGCCCGAUACUGACGCUGAGGUGCGAAAGCGUGGGGAGCAAACAGG